rnacentral:rRNA from 1 species
AUUGAACGCUGGCGGCAGGCCUAACACAUGCAAGUCGAACGAGUGGCGGACGGGUGAGUAAUGUAUGGGAAACUGCCUGAUGGCGGGGGAUAACUACUGGAAACGGUAGCUAAUACCGCAUACCAUCGGAUGUGCCCAGAUGGGAUUAGCUAGUUGGUGGGGUAAAGGCUCACCUAGGCGACGAUCCCUAGCUGGUCUGAGAGGAUGACCAGCCACACUGGAACUGAGACACGGUCCAGACUCCUACGGGAGGCAGCAGUGGGGAAUAUUGGACAAUGGGCGAAAGCCUGAUGCAGCCAUGCCGCGUGUAUGAUGAAGGCCUUCGGGUUGUAAAGUACUUUCGGCGGGGAGGCGGUAUCUGCAGAAGAAGCACCGGCUAACUCCGUGCCAGCAGCCGCGGUAAUUC